GACGAACGCUGGCGGCGUGCCUAACACAUGCAAGUCAACUUGACUGAAGGAGCAAUCUGACAGUAGAGUGGCGCAAGGGUGCGUAACGCGUAAGUAACUUGCCCAAGGUAAGGAAUAACGUCGAGAAAUCGGCGCUAAUACCUCAUAAUGCAGCGGAUCCGCAUGGAUAUGUUGUUAAAGGUUUACCGCCUUGGGAUAGGCUUGCGUCUGAUUAGUUAGUUGGUGUGGUAACGGCACACCAAGGCUACGAUCAGUAACUGGUCUGAGAGGAUGAUCAGUCACACUGGAACUGAGACACGGUCCAGACUCCUACGGGAGGCAGCAGUGAGGAAUAUUGGGCAAUGCUCGAAAGAGUGACCCAGCAACGCCGCGUGGAGGAUGAAGGUAUUCUAUAUCGUAAACUCCUGUGAGAGCAGACGAAGACAGAUUAUUAAUCUGGAUGACUGUAUGCUCAGAGGAAGCCCCGGCUAACUACGU
rnacentral:rRNA from 1 species